rnacentral:rRNA from 1 species
AUCUACCUAGUAGUACGGAAUAAUUGUUGGAAACGGCAACUAAUACCGUAYMCKCYCUACGGGGGAAAAAUUUAUUGCUAUUAGAUGAGCCUAUMUUAGAUUAGCUAGUUGGUGGAGUAAUAGCCUACCAAGGCAAUGAUCUAUAGCUGAUCUGAGAGGAUGAUCAGCCACMCUSGAACUGAGAUACGGUCCAGACUCCUACGGGAGGCAGCAGUGGGGAAUAUUGGACAAUGGGCGAAAGCCUGAUCCAGCCAUGCCGCAUGAGUGAAGAASGCCUUUGGGUUGUAAAGCUCUUUUAGUGAGGAASAUAAUGACG